rnacentral:lncRNA from 1 species
CUCUUGCCUCACAUUUGGUUCUAAAAUUUUUCAGCCAUGUGGACCACAGAACUCUAGUUGAGUCCUGAACAGACCACACUGACAUUCUCCAACAAGACCGGACACUACCUGCUCAGCCAUCUCUCUUUCAGUCUAGAGCUCUCUGUCUGCUCAUUUCUCUCAUGUUUUCAUGUGCUUUCCCUCAACACUUCCACUGAAUCAUGUCUGCAUCCCCAGCCCUCCCAUUUCUAUCAGUUCUGAGGUGUGCAGUGACCCUUAUCUUCCAUUCCUGGCUUUUCUCGCUUUCUCUUCAGGAAGCUUGAGGAUAUCUUUGACUUGGCAGCAGCUAUCAGCACAUCCAUCAAGGAGUGAGCUCAUGGCUUAUGUCAUCUAUCAUUGGAAAAGACAGAAGUCAUCAGAAUUCUUGAUUUGUAUGCAGUCAGGACACUUCCCACCCAUCACACCGAGGGACACACUUACUGGGUCCACCUGUUUCAGCUUUGGCAUAAGCCCUAUGUGACCUUGCUCAAGAAGGGGACAUCAUGAGCCUGGGAGACAUUUCUGAACACAGACACACAGCCUGGCCAGUGUAAAUUAAAACUGGAAAGUUCUUGGUGGCCACACACACAUCUGC